UACGUAGGUGGCAAGCGUUGUCCGGAUUUACUGGGCGUAAAGCGCACGUAGGCGGCUUGGUAUGUCGGGUGUGAAAUCCCCGGGCUCAACCUGGGAACUGCAUCCGAAACUGCCUUGCUCGAGUAUGGGAGAGGGAAGUGGAAUUUCCGGUGUAGCGGUGAAAUGCGUAGAUAUCGGAAGGAACAUCAGUGGCGAAGGCGACUUCCUGGACCAAUACUGACGCUCAGGUGCGAAAGCGUGGGGAGCAAACAGG
rnacentral:rRNA from 1 species